CCCGAAGCCGAUUAUCUAACCUUUUGGAAGAAGUCGUCGAAGGUGGAAUCAAUAACUGGGGUGAAGUCGUAACAAGGUAGCCGUAUCGGAAGGGGCGGCUGGAUCACCUCCUUUCUAAGGAGA
rnacentral:rRNA from 1 species